rnacentral:rRNA from 1 species
AUGGAAGGAGAGGCGGAGCUGGAAGCGGAGGCGAAGGGAAAGAGAGGCGGCGGAAAGGUGAGGAUCAUCGAGGCACCACCAAGGAUCUCCAUGGAGGCUGUGAAUGGAGCCAUGGGGAGCGACGAGUUGCCGGAGAGGAUUUCCACUUCAGAAGAUACAGAAUUAGAGAUUGAGCAAGCCAAGGAGAUGGGAGAGGAAGCCGAGGAGAGGGAUGAGGUGGCAAAAUUGGAGAUUGAGGAAGCUGAGGGGAUGGAGGAGAAGAUGCAGACUGGGAUGUUCUUUAAUAUCUACUGUCGCGCCUUGGAAUCGAAUUUGUCCAGGUUGUUCAGCAGUCCCUGGAAAGAUGCGACUUCAUUGAGUCCUAUGCACUUCACACACAGUACAACGAACCGCACCUCUUAUGCUGAAUUCGCCACCAGCACUCUGCAAAUAUACUCCAUUAAAGUCACAGAAAUAAAGGGCACUCCUGAGUUGAAGUGGCCACUGCGUGUGUAUGGCAUGGUUGCUGCCCGAGAUACCGUGGAUCACAAUCGCAACAUUCUCUUCUUGCGUCAAAGGAAUGACUGCCAGAUACUCACUCCAGAGAAUCCUUUUUUGCAAUUGACUGGCCCGUCUCGUGCAAUUGCGGCUAUAGAUCCUGUUGACUUUGACAUUAAACUCAAAGUAAAGGGCAGGAUGAAGUCAAAAGAUAGAGUGCUCAUGCAUCAGACCUCCAAGUACAGCUGUAAUGAGGCCAUUCUGUUGGAUGACUCAUGCAGAAUUGUGUUACGGUGUGCGAAACUGGAGAAGACAGUGCAAGCAACUAUAGUCGGUGUCCGUGUUAUUAAUUGGAGAAAGAAGAAAUGGCCUUUUAGACAUGGUGGUCUAGUUAUUGCCAAGGCACAUUCUAAGCCCGUAAAACCUGAGAAUGAGGCCCUGCUACAAGAUCAAGUGAUGGAUGACAUUUCAGAUGGUUACUUUGAAGGUGAAGUUAGUUGUGUUGGCGACAGAUCUUCAGCGCUGAAACAUGAAGAUGAGGUUGUGCUUCAAGAUCAAGUGACAGCUAACAAUUGGGAUGGUUGCCUUGAUCUGUCAAGGCAUGUUGUUUCCGUAGAGUUAGAUGGAAAGCUCGAAGUCAUCAUCCGUGCCCUGUCUUCAAAUGGUUUUAUUACUAAACAUGGCCAUGUCUUCUUCCCAGCCCAGGAAAGCAAAAUAAGUCGGGGCAUAUGUGAUCUUGCCUCCUAUAAGGUGGAAGUCACUGUUGCUUGGUCCCUUCUUGUUCGAGACAAGCAGUUUAUCUCGAGGGAGGGAUGUAUGGAUGAUGACUAG